rnacentral:rRNA from 1 species
CACGUAGGGGGCAAGCGUUGUCCGGAUUUAUUGGGCGUAAAGAGCUCGUAGGUGGUUCGGUAAGUCAGGUGUGAAACCUCCAGGCUCAACCUGGAGACGCCACUUGAUACUGCUGUGACUGGAGUCCGGUAGGGGAGCGUGGAAUUCCUGGUGUAGCGGUGAAAUGCGUUGAUAUCAGGAGGAACACCCAUGGCGAAGGCAGCAUACUGGUCGGCAUCUGACGCUGAGGCGCGAAAGCGUGGGUAGCAAACAGG